rfam:Myotis lucifugus cont2.69512, whole genome shotgun sequence.
GGCCUGAUAUCUCAGUUGCUUAGAGCAUUGUCCUGAUAUGCCAAAGUUGUGGGUUCAAUCCCCAGUCAGGGCA